rnacentral:lncRNA from 1 species
UACUAGAGGUCAAACCUGGCAACGAGCACAUUUCUAUAAAUACCCACAGAAACAAAAUAAAAAAAGGAUCCAAGAAAAGAGAAAGAUAAUCACAGAGACAAUGAUGAAAACGCAAGUGACUAUAUUGGCGGCCCUUCUGAUCCUUGUGGCUUUAACAUCGAACUUAGAUAUGGUGGCGGAGGCUCAAGGUCAAUUAGGCCCCGGAGACUGCUUCGACGGUUGCAUAACGGGCUGCGUCCAGCGCGACAGUGAGUACUCUAUCUUCAGUUUUUCAUACCUUCGAUUUCUAUAAGCCCCUAUUAAUAUUUUCUCUUUUCCAGCAAAAAAGAUGAUUAAAUGCGAACGCCGAUGCGCCAAAAAGUGUGGCCGAGGUAAAAUACUUAAUUUCUAGUGGAAUGAUGAGUAAAACGGACUCCUAUGAGACUAGUCCACGAUACCUUUAUCAGAUUGGAAGCAUUCCCUCACCAGUCAGUUAAUUAAGGUUGUAUUAUGCGGUCUGAUCUAUCUACGUACCAUGCAAUGAACAUAAACUGAGAGUUUCUAUCGAUGAAAGUAAAUAUAAAUACUGUGUUUGUCCAUUAGAACCGGAUCAUAGGUUGUGGGAUGAGUUGGUUUUGUAACUAAAAGGCAACCAUAAGGGAUUUGGAAGUUUGGAACUAAUUAAUGUUGAUGUACUUUGUAAUUGCAGGUGGUAAAAGGGCAAGUGAGACUGGUGCUUAAACUUUAAAUUCAGUAAAAGAUCCAUAUAGAUAUAACUAUGUUGUAAUCUUGGCCUUGUAAUCUUAUCUCUUUAAAAUAUAUUAUGUAAUAUUGUAACCAGUAAACCAAGUGGUUGUAGUUGAUGAAAUAGUUGUCCUAUCAGGGUUUUGUAACUUAAUGAAACUAAAAGUGGAUUUGGAACCGAUAUUUAUGUACUUUGUAAUUGCAGGUGGUAAAGGCAAGUGAGACUGGUGCUUAAACUUUAUUUUCACUGAGAAAUGCGAUCCAUAUAGAUAUAAUUAUGUUGUAAUCUUGUUCUUGUUAUCGUAUCUCUAUAAAACCUACUAUGAAAUAUUGUAACCAAUAAACCAAGUGGUUGUAGCAUAAAAUGUUUCGAGAAAUGGAUCAGCCGGUCUAACUAAAAUAUAAGAGAAAAAGCUAAAAGAUUAUGUGUUUUUGAUGUCUAUUAGUGUUUUAAUGUUUGUGUUUUUUUUUAAAAAAAGAAAAAAUUGAAACGGCCAAUGACCAGCCGCCACGUGUAUUAAGAGAUAGUCUCUUCAGCUCUUUAUAUAAGAAGCAUUCCUUAGC